ACCUAUAUAAGGACGAGAACGACGGACAACGGGCCUUCUUCUAACAACUUCACCGCAACUUCAUCGGACGAACAUUUGCUUGUUUGGGAACAUUCGUUCAACCUUGGUGGCCAAGGUGGGCAGAGAAAGAGCAGCACAUUGACCUUUCAAUUAAUGUGGUCCAGCAGCUCAGGCCGAGUGUCGCGGCGAUGUCUCCGGGAGCGAGAGCGGGGCUGCGUGGAGGGCGGAUCGAGGAACAGCUUGUCGUCCUGGAGCGUGUUGACCAGGCAGGGAACGUCGCCCACAAAGGCUUGCGCCUCCUUGGCUGUCAUGGCUUUGGAGAAACCUCGACCCUGCAGGACAGUGGAAGGAGGGGAACAAUUAACUGGUAACGGAACCUUUUGUGGAUGACAACCUUCCAACCUUUUACAAGGUUGGACAACAUCUUUGUGCAUGUCGCAAGUACUUACUGCUGGAAAAGCUCAAGUAUUCUUAUACAACACAAACCCUUUUAAUGUGGAUGAUAAAAAGGACGAUUUUAGACUUCCUUACCACUGUAGUUUGAAUAUUGGGCAGAACUGAAGACAAUGACAAAAAAUGUUUUUUUUUUUUCGCAGGGGGGGUUGAUAUAUAGAAAACGUGAAAUACAUCUGGCAACACCUGUAGAUGAGGAGGAUUAAUCGAUCUGAUGAUGUAAUAGUUGUAGAAAGAAAAGAUGUGAGCGCUAUGCUUGGAAGGGUUAAACCCAAAUGGGUCAUAUGCAAGAGGAUUACUGGCAUAUUUUCUGCAAAGUUUCAAAGCACCCCUUUAACUGUAUUUCCUCGCAGGUGAGUGGCAGAUUGAAUUAGAUGGUUGAGCUUAUUAAGUACAAGGACAUUUCUUGCAAAUGUCUUACAUUAGUCUAAUGGCCUCGCCACAUUGGAUCAGAAAGUUCUCUUUUAGGCUUCAUACACAACCGUGUGUGCAUAUAGAGAGGCCUUAGCGUACACUAAUGGAUUCUGGAGGAUGAAGAACAGAUGACUAAUUUGCAUUAUGUAUGUUAACACAAAGAAAGGCUUAUAAAGAGACAUUAUGACCCCCACCCACACACCCUGACACCGAGAUAGCGCCAGUCAAGAAGCUGCUACUGCCGCAAUAAUGAGUCAAGAACAUAUUCGUAGGCAGACUUAUUCAGAUCAUUAUAAUAUCGGGUUAGGCUAUGCCCUUUCUAAGUCUUGUUUAUUUUGAUUUACAGUUAGCAGUUUUACAAAAGCAAUAAAAACUUACCGUCAAAGUUACA